rnacentral:misc_RNA from 1 species
UCUCCGUUGGUGAACCAGCGGAGGGAUCAUUACCGAGUGCAAACUCAUAACCCUUUGUGAACCUAUAUCUGUUGCUUCGGCGGCUCGCUCUCGGGCGAGCCCGCCGGUAAUAUCAGUAUCUCUGUUUGAACCCGACGAUACUUCUGAGUGUUCUUAGCGAACAGUUAAAACUUUUAACAACGGAUCUCUUGGCUCUAGCAUCGAUGAAGACGCAGC